rnacentral:rRNA from 1 species
AACGAACGCUGGCGGCGUGGAUAAGACAUGCAAGUCGAACGGGAUCAUGUUUAUAGCAAUAUGAAUGUGGUCCAGUGGCAAACGGGUGCGUAACACGUGAGCAAUCUGCCGGGAAGUGGGGGACAGCUCGCCGAAAGGCGAAUUAAUACCGCAUAUGGCCAGAGAGGUCAUCCUCUCAAAGCCAAAGUCGCAAGACGCUUCCUGAUGAGCUCGCGGCCUAUCAGCUAGUUGGUGAGGUAACGGCUCACCAAGGCAAUGACGGGUAGCUGGUCUGAGAGGACGACCAGCCACACUGGAACUGAGACACGGUCCAGACACCUACGGGUGGCAGCAGUCGAGAAUUUUUCACAAUGGGGGAAACCCUGAUGGAGCGACGCCGCGUGGAGGACGAAGGCCCUUGGGUCGUAAACUCCUGUCAUGCGGGAACAAGAAAGUGAUAGUACCGCAAGAGGAAGAGACGGCUAACUCUGUGCCAGCAGCCGCAGUAA